AUGAAGAGCCACUGAACCAUCAGCAUCGGGUAUCAGAUGAAGAGCCAUUUGAAGCCAGGAGGGACCAGGUCACACAUACGUUUUGGGUAGCUCGGAUUGCAAGGGAUGCUGGGGGCUGCGUCACAGAUCCUACUCACCUCUGAUCCCAGUGUGCCUCACUGGAACAUAAUUUACACUGCUGUGUUCAAGGACUUUCUCCUGGUAUCCUUCAGGGUCAUAACACUUCAGUUGGUACAGGCACCGGUCAUGAAUUACUAGAACCAACUCAAUACCAGUCUUGGAAUCGGGCACUACCUCACAGAGUUGGAGAACUCUCAUCAUUGCUGUAACAUCACCCCCACCUGACUCCUGGCCUUCAGGGUGGUGGCAUGUGGAGGCAGAGGUCUUGGUGACAACAGAUUCCUGCUAGAGCAGAUUAGAGAGAGGCAGCUCCAGGGCUAAAUCUGCAUCUUCACCUCACUCGUGAAAGCGGUGAGAGCAAAAAGAACAGUGCAGCCAGCUUCACUGGCUGAGCUGCUGGUGGCUGCACUGCACAGGCUGACGUGGUACCUACCCUCUGUUAUUGCAGUAGGAACUCUACAGAGAAAAUCGUGAUCGAUGCCAUCAAGGAAAAGGUGGAGAAGUCCAUCAUGCCUGAAACAUUUUUAAGGAACACAUGUGUGGCAGAAAACAUCGUGUCACCAACCAAGAGACACUUUCUCUCCACAAGAAAAUUAACUCCUGCAGGUAAAACACUGCUUCCUUUACCAACUCAACAUCCUUGCUUGCUACCUUGUAGCUUGUCCAGUCAUUGUGAACAGAAGCGUGGGAGGAAUUGUAUUUGCCUCUCUACGGCCAAGGCCAUGGAAGCUGUGGAGCAGGGCCUCCUGGGGACUCUCACACCACUCUGGUAUGAUCAACGACUUCACAUUGUGAAGGCCACAGUUUCUCCACUUUCUCUCUGUGCAAUGAGAUAG
rnacentral:lncRNA from 1 species